AGGGUGCGCCGAAUACUGAAGGGCUAGAGUGUGGAGAGGAAAGUGGAAUUCCUGGUGUAGCGGUGAAAUGCGUAGAUAUCAGGAGGAACACCGGUGGUGUAGACGGCUUUCUGGACCAUAACUGACGCUGAGACACGAAAGCGUGGGUAGCAAACAGGAUUAGAUACCCUGGUAGUCCACGCCCUAAACGAUGCAUAUUUGGUGUGGGCCAUUCAUUUGGUCCGUGCCGGAGCUAACGCGUUAAAUAUGCCGCCUGGGGAGUACAGUCGCAAGGCUGAAACUCAAAGGAAUUGACGGGGGCCCGCACAAGCGGUGGAGCAUGUGGUUCAAUUCGACGCAACGCGAAGAACCUUACCUGGGCUCGAAAUGCUAUGGACAGUCCGUGAAAGCGGAUCUUCCCCUUAAAAGGACCGUAGUAUAGGUGCUGCAUGGCUGUCGUCAGCUCGUGUCGUGAGAUGUUGGGUUAAGUCCCGCAACGAGCGCAACCCUUGUCCUGUGUUGCCAUCAUUCAGUUGGGAACUCGCAGGAGACCGCCAGCGAUAAGCUGGAGGAAGGUGGGGAUGACGUCAAGUCCUCAUGGCCUUUAUGUCCAGGGCUACACACGUGCUACAAUGGACGGUACAAUACGUCGCUAACCCGCGAGGGGGAGCCAAUCGCUAAAAACCGUUCUCAGUUCGGAUUGCAGGCUGCAACUCGCCUGCAUGAAGCUGGAAUCGCUAGUAAUGGCAGAUCAGCACGCUGCCGUGAAUACGUUCCCGGGCCUUGUACACACCGCCCGUCACAUCACGAAAGUGGAUUGUACUAGAAGUCUGCGCGCUAACCCGCAAGGGAGGCAGCGGCCCAAGGUAUGAUUCAUGAUUGGGGUGAAGUCGUAACAAGGUACCAAUCCCGCGG
rnacentral:rRNA from 1 species